rnacentral:piRNA from 1 species
CCCAGGAUCAAAUGUCCAACCCGUGU